rnacentral:rRNA from 1 species
GACAGAGGGUGCGAACGUUGUUCGGAAUUACUGGGCGUAAAGCGCGUGUAGGCGGCAGCGUGUGUCGGGCGUGAAAUCCCACGGCUCAACCGUGGAAGUGCACUCGAAACUGCGCAGCUAGAGUCCUGGAGAGGAAGGUGGAAUGCUUGGUGUAGAGGUGAAAUUCGUAGAUAUUCGCAAGAACACCAGUGGCGAAGGCGGCUCACUGGCCCGGUACUGACGCUGAGGUGCGAAAGCGUGGGGAGCAAACAGG